rnacentral:rRNA from 1 species
GGAUAACCUACCCUUAGGACCGGGAUAACCCUGGGAAACUGGGGAUAAUACUGGAUAGGCAAUUUUUCCUGUAAUGGUUUUUUGUUUAAAUGUUUUUUCGCCUAAGGAUGGGUCUGCGGCCGAUUAGGUAGUUGGUUAGGUAAUGGCUUACCAAGCCGUUGAUCGGUACGGGUUGUGAGAGCAAGAGCCCGGAAAUGGAACCUGAGGCAAGGUUCCAGGCCCUACGGGGUGCAGCAGGCGCGAAACCUCCGCAAUGUGAGAAAUCGCGACGGGGGGAUCCCAAGUGCCAUUCUUAGCGGGAUGGCUUUUCAUUAGUGUAAAGAGCUUUUGGAAUAAGAGCUGGGCAAGACCGGUGCCAGCCGCCGCGGUAACACCGGCAGCUCUAGUGGUAGCAAUUUUUAUUGGGCCUAAAGCGUCCGUAGCCGGUUUAAUAAGUCUCUGGUGAAAUCCUGUAGCUUAACUGUGGGAAUUGCUGGAGAUACUAUUAGACUUGAGACCGGGAGAGGUUAGAGGUACUCCCAGGGUAGAGGUGAAAUUCUGUAAUCCUGGGAGGACCGCCUGUUGCGAAGGCGUCUAACUGGAACGGUUCUGACGGUGAGGGACGAAAGUUAGGGGCGCGAACCGGAUUAGAUACCCGGGUAGUCCUAACUGUAAACGAUGCGGACUUGGUGUUGGGGUGGCUUUGAGCUGCUCCAGUGCCGAAAGGGAAGCUGUUAAGUCCGCCGCCUGGGAAG